rnacentral:tRNA from 1 species
GCCCUUUUAGCUUAACUGGAAAAGUGAUCGGUUGAAGCCCGAUAGUUCACGGUUCGAUUCCGUGGGAGGGCAC